GCCAGGUGUGGUGGUGUGUGCCUGUAAUCCCAGCUACUUGGGAGGCUGAGGCAGGGGAAUUGCUUGAACCCAGGAGGCAGAGGUUGCAGUGAGCCGAGAUCGCGCCACUGAACUCCAGCCUGGGCAACAGAGUGAGACCCUGUCUCAA
rnacentral:sRNA from 1 species